rnacentral:rRNA from 1 species
UACAGAGGUCUCAAGCGUUGUUCGGAUUCAUUGGGCGUAAAGGGCGCGUAGGUGGCCUGGUAAGUAGGGGGUGAAAUCCUGCGGCUUAACCGCAGGGCUGCCUUCUAAACUGUCAGGCUCGAGCACGGUAGAGGCAGAUGGAAUUCCCGGUGUAGCGGUGGAAUGCGUAGAGAUCGGGAAGAACAUCAGUGGCGAAGGCGGUCUGCUGGGCCGUUGCUGACGCUGAGGCGCGACAGCGUGGGGAGCGAACAGG